rnacentral:rRNA from 1 species
AGGACGAACGCUGGCGGCGUGCCUAACACAUGCAAGUCGAACGGAGUCCAAGCGGUGGCAACACUGCUGAAGACUUAGUGGCGAACGGGUGAGUAUCACGUGAGCAACCUGCCCCGAAGGCUGGGAUAACACCGGGAAACCGGUGCUAAUACCGGAUAUCCCCACCGGAUCGCAUGGUCUGGUGAGGAAAUGAAUUUCGCUUUGGGAGGGACUCGCGGCCUAUCAGCUUGUUGGUGGUGUAACGGACCACCAAGGCUUCGACGGGUAGCUGGUCUGAGAGGACGAUCAGCCACACUGGGACUGAGACACGGCCCAGACUCCUACGGGAGGCAGCAGUGGGGAAUCUUGCGCAAUGGGCGAAAGCCUGACGCAGCAACGCCGCGUGAGGGACGAAGGCCUUCUGGGUUGUAAACCUCUUUCAGCAGGGCGAUUGUGACGGUACCUGCAGAAGAAGCCCGGCCAACUACGUGCCAGCAGCCGC